GGAGGUAAAAGUCGUAACAAGGUUUCCGUAGGUGAACCUGCGGAAGGAUCAUUACUGAGUGAGGGCCCCUCGGGGUCCAACCUCCCACCCGUGUUUAACGAACCUUGUUGCUUCGGCGGGCCCGCCUCACGGCCGCCGGGGGGCUUCUGCCCCCGGGCCCGCGCCCGCCGAAGCCACCUGUGAACGCUGUCUGAAGUAUGCAGUCUGAGACAAUUAUUAAAUUAAUUAAAACUUUCAACAACGGAUCUCUUGGUUCCG
rnacentral:misc_RNA from 1 species